rnacentral:rRNA from 1 species
GAUCAUGGCUCAGGAUGAACGCUAGCUACAGGCUUAACACAUGCAAGUCGAGGGGCAGCAUUUUUAUAGCAAUAUAAAAGAUGGCGACCGGCGCACGGGUGAGUAACACGUAUCCAACCUGCCGAUAACUCGGGGAUAACCCUUCGAAAGAAGGCCUAAUACCCGAUGGCAUAUCCCUUCCGCCUGGUUGGGAUAUUAAAGAACUUCGGUUAUCGAUGGGGAUGCGUUCCAUUAGGCAGUUGGUGAGG